rnacentral:rRNA from 1 species
ACGGGAGGCAGCAGUGGGGAAUAUUGCACAAUGGGCGCAAGCCUGAUGCAGCGACGCCGCGUGAGCGAAGAAGUAUUUCGGUAUGUAAAGCUCUAUCAGCAGGGAAGAUAAUGACGGUACCUGACUAAGAAGCACCGGCUAAAUACGUGCCAGCAGCCGCGGUAAUACGGAUGGUGCAAGCGUUAUCCGGAUUUACUGGGUGUAAAGGGAGCGUAGGCGGUUUUACAAGUCUGAUGUGAAAGCCCGGGGCUCAACUCCGGUAUUGCAUUGGAAACUGUAGAACUAGAGUGUCGGAGGGGUAAGUGGAAUUCCUAGUGUAGCGGUGAAAUGCGUAGAUAUUAGGAGGAACACCAGUGGCGAAGGCGGCUUACUGGACGAUUACUGACGCUGAGGCUCGAAAGCGUGGGGAGCAAACAGGAUUAGAUACCCUGGUA